UUUCCGUAGGUGAACCUGCGGAAGGAUCAUUACUGAGUGAGGGCCCCUCGGGGUCCAACCUCCCACCCGUGUUUAACGAACCUUGUUGCUUCGGCGGGCCCGCCUCACGGCUGCCGGGGGCAUCUGCCCCCGGGCCCGCGCCCGCCGAAGCCACCUGUGAACGCUGUCUGAAGUAUGCAGUCUGAGACAAUUAUUAAAUUAAUUAAAACUUUCAACAACGGAUCUCUUGGUUCCG
rnacentral:misc_RNA from 1 species